rnacentral:rRNA from 1 species
AUGAGAUGGAAAUUCUACCAAACAACAUGUCUAAGGCUACCCCAGUUGCUGAAGUCCUUUAGCUUUGAUGGAUAUGGACCAGCUUUCCAUCGGGCAAUUGUUGAGCUACCUCCCAAACAAGAACGUCCGUCCACCCCAGCAGCUAAGGAUGGUGCUAGUGUCUCUAAUAUUUCCCUAAAAGGUUGCUCAAAUUUGGCAAAUAUGUUUUUGCGUGGGUUGCCCAACCUUGUUGAGCUUGACCUCUCUGGAACUGCAAUUAGGACACUUGAUUUCACUACUAUGGUGGUAGAAGUUCCAAUGCUGAAGCGAUUAUUUAUGCUAGGAUGUGAGCAUCUUCGUGCAAUAAUUUGGGACAGGAAUAUUGAUAGCUUCCAUUUGGAAUUGUUAUGCAUAGAUACGCGAGAUGGAACUGGCUUUCCUCGGUCGUGCAUUGACCAGAACAAGUCCUUUCAGCUUGAGGUGCAUGCUAUUGUCGUGGAUGCGAGGCUUGCUCGGUCGUUGUGGCAAUCAUUACGCGACUAUGCAACUCCGGAUGUUUAUCUUAGUAUCCAUGUCACCUCAGCUGUGUAUGGAGAUCAAGUCAGCCUGCAGCAACUCGUUCAAGCAGCCCCAGACCGGUACAAUGGUGUUCAAAGCAUGGUUGGUGAUGCCUCGAUGCUGGCCUUCCCUAAGUCUCCCACUAAUAACCUGGAUCGACAUAUCGACAUUACUAAAGGGUGGCACGUUUUGGACAGUGGACUGGGAUAUGUGAUGACGGAGUUUGCCGAAUCCCUGCAUGUCCACGAUGUCUCAACUAGUGCUAGUUUGCCUACGAGAAACUGGAAGGUUCUCAUGCAGUGCCGCAUGGAGAGGUGCCCCAAGUUGAGUGAAGUCUUCCGAAGGGCAUCAAAUGAAUUUAAGGAGCUGGAGACCUUCUGGGCGUCCGAUCUCCUAAUGGCCAGCUGGAUAUGUAGUAAAGGUGGUUACCGCAGCUUCAAUGAUGGUUCAUUCAGAAAUCAGAAGCACAUACAGUUGCGCUCUUCCCCCAGGCUCCAGUUCGGGCUCCCUGUGUGGUUCAAUUCCUUCCCAAGUUUGGAGACCCUCCACAUCAUCCACUGCGGAGACCUCAGGCACAUAUUCGUGCUAAACGACAAAUGGUACCCACCGGAAAUAUCCAUCCAGGUUGUAGCAUUCCCAAGGCUAACCACCAUCCACCUGCACGACCUACCAGUGUUGUAG